UCUGGUUGAUCCUGCCUGAACUGAUGUGUUCAUUUCAAAGAUUAAGCCAUGCAUGUAUAAGUUUAAUCGUUUUAACGAGAAACCGCGAACGGCUCAUUACAAUGGCCAUGAUUUACUUGAUCUUGAUUAUCUAAAUGGAUAACUGUGGAAAAGCUAGAGCUAAUACAUGCACCAAAGCUUUGUCCUCUCGGAAAAGCGCAUUUAUUAGAACAAAACCACGCGGCUUCGGCUGCUUCUUGUUGACUCAGAAUAACUAAGCUGACCGCAUGGCCUUGUGCCGGCGGCGUGUCUUUCAAGCGUCCACUUUAUCAACUUGACGGGAGCAUAAUCGACUCCCGUGGUGGUGACGGAUAACGGAGGAUCAGGGUUCGACUCCGGAGAAGGGGCCUGAGAAAUGGCCACUACGUCUAAGGAUGGCAGCAGGCGCGCAAAUUACCCACUCUCGGCUCGAGGAGGUAGUGACGAGAAAUAACGAGAUCGUUCUCUUUGAGGCCGGUCAUCGGAAUGGGUACAAUUUAAACCCUUUAACGAGUAUCAAGCAGAGGGCAAGUCUGGUGCCAGCAGCCGCGGUAAUUCCAGCUCUGCUAAUACAUAGAAUUAUUGCUGCGGUUAAAAAGCUCGUAGUUGGAUUCGUAUCGGUACCCUGGAACCCUCCGGGUGUUUCUGGGUGUUAUCGAUUUAUCGUAAUGUUUGGUUUUGAGUCCUUAACAGGAUUCUUAACAGGCAUUGCAAGUUUACUUUGAACAAAUCAGAGUGCUUCAAACAGGCGUUUUCGCUUGAAUGAUCGUGCAUGGAAUAAUAGAAAACGAUUUCGGUUCAGUUUUAUUGGUUUUACGGACUGAGAUAAUGGUUAACAGAGACAAACGGGGGCAUUUGUAUGGCCCCGUGAGAGGUGAAAUUCUUGGACCGUGGCCAGACAAACUACAGCGAAAGCAUUUGCCAAGAAUGUCUUCAUUAAUCAAGAACGAAAGUCAGAGGUUCGAAGGCGAUCAGAUACCGCCCUAGUUCUGACCGUAAACGAUGCCAACUAGCGAUCCGCCGAUGGAAAUUAUAUUGCCUUGGUGGGGAGCUUCCCGGAAACGAAAGUCUUCCGGUUCCGGGGGAAGUAUGGUUGCAAAGCUGAAACUUAAAGGAAUUGACGGAAGGGCACCACCAGGAGUGGAGCCUGCGGCUUAAUUUGACUCAACACGGGGAAACUCACCCGGCCCGGACACUGUGAGGAUUGACAGAUUGAUAGCUUUUUCAUGAUUCAGUGGAUGGUGGUGCAUGGCCGUUCUUAGUUCGUGGAGUGAUUUGUCUGGUUUAUUCCGAUAACGAGCGAGACUCUAACCUACUAAAUAGUUGGUGCAUACUCUUUGUGUAUACAGCUUCUUAGAGGGAUUUGCGGCGUUCAGCCGAAAGAAAUUGAGCAAUAACAGGUCUGUGAUGCCCUUAGAUGUCCGGGGCUGCACGCGCGCUACACUGGCAAAAUCAACGUGCUUGUCCUACCCUGAAAGGGGCGGGUAAACCAUUGAAAAUUUGCCGUGAUUGGGAUCGGAAAUUGCAAUUAUUUUCCGUGAACGAGGAAUUCCAAGUAAGUGCGAGUCAUCAGCUCGCGUUGAUUACGUCCCUGCCCUUUGUACACACCGCCCGUCGCUGCCCGGGACUGAGCCAUUUCGAGAAAUUUGGGGACCGUUGAUUUAAUUUUUCUAAAUUACUUUGAUGGAAACCAAUUUAAUCGCAGUGGCUUGAACCGGGCAAAAGUCGUAACAAGGUAGCUGUAGGUGAACCUGCUGCUG
rnacentral:rRNA from 1 species